GCAGUUUGUCGCUCUGCACAGCCAGCCGAUUCUACAGGAUCUGUCCAACUUUAUGCUGCAAAAAUACUGCUCCACACUCAUAAUGGAUGCCAAGAGCAAGAAAUAUAAGGAGUACAAGAAGAUGUUGUCGGUGCUGGCCAAAGUACCUCAGACAGGUGAUUUCGAUCUCCAGCAUGUGAAAGAAUCCACUUACUUCUUCAGCUGAGGGCCUCGUGAACCCAGCGUAAAGAGACGAGUGGAACUGACAGAGUGCAGCAGGGAGGUUGCGAGCCCCCAGAGUUUCAA